ACUCAAAUGAAUUGACGGGGGCCCGCACAAGCGGCGGAGCAUGUGGCUUAAUUCGACGCAACGCGAAGAACCUUACCAGGGCUUGACAUGCGGGAUGAAACCGUGGAAACACGGUGCUCUUCGGAGCCCGCACAGGUGGUGCAUGGCUGUCGUCAGCUCGUGCCGUGAGGUGUUGCCUUAAGUGGCGCAACGAGCGCAACCCCUGUCUCAUGUUGCCAGCGAGUCAUGUCGGGGACUCAUGAGAGACUGCCGGUGCCAAACCGGAGGAAGGUGGGGAUGACGUCAAGUCAUCAUGCCCCUUAUGUCCUGGGCUGCACACAUGCUACAAUGCAUAGUACAAAGGGUAGCAAUGCCGCGAGGUGGAGCGAAUCCCAAAAAGCUAUGCUCAGUUCGGAUUGGGGUCUGCAACUCGACCCCAUGAAGUCGGAGUCGCUAGUAAUCGCAGAUCAGCAACGCUGCGGUGAAUACGUUCCCGGGCCUUGUACACACCGCCCGU
rnacentral:rRNA from 1 species